rnacentral:tRNA from 1 species
UGGCUCAGUAGGUAGAGUGCUUGCCUUGCAUGCAUGAGACCCUGGGUUCGAUUCCUCAG